GGCGCAGUGACUAGAGAUAAGAAUUGUUUUCUCUUUCUCUGAGGUACCUUGCAGCAAUUCCCGGGAAAUAGCUUUGGGUAGUUGUGCCUGCUUCCUCUAUGAAGAGAGCUGCAGCAUGUAUUUUCCUUGGACUCCUUGGCACUAGAGAUUUUCAUGAAAGCUACCUGAAAAAGAGAGGGAAAUUUCCAAAUGUGUUCUCUGUUUCCUAUUUUGUGAAAUUUUAUGGAAAAUACAUAUUUGGCAAAGGAAAAAGAAAUAAUUGUCAGGAGGGUGGGGGGUGAGGUACUGGGGAAUUCAGGGGCUCUUUAGUCCAUUAGGGUACAUCCCACUGCCCCCAGUGAGAGAGCAGGACACGAUUCAGAGAAGAGAACCCAUUUCUGCAUGAACUCUGCCAUCUCACAAGUGGCAAUUUUUCCUGAGAGACAAUGGGACCAAGGCCUACACUCUUUCCAUAUUGGAACAUUUCAGCUGAGGAAAGGACACGAGAUUUGGCAAAGAUAUAAAAUAUGGAUGAUGAAGGCAGAAGGAACGACGUGGCAUGUGACAGAGGCUUGCAAAAAGGGAAUAAAUAAAGAUUGAGCAUUGGUUUUUUUCUGAAACAACAACAAAGGCAUGAAAUAAAACUUGGAGGUGAGAAGUACAGAUGUGAGAAGUUACUGUCUUCAUUCUCCUUGUAUUUAAAACUGUGGAACUUCCUGCCUUUUCUUACAAAUGUUUACAGGCACUCAAAAAUGAACGGGAAUUUUUUUUUUUAGAAACUCAGCCCUUUCAAACUUUUUAUAAAGAAAUUACACUUCACUUCAGCACUGCAAACAUGGAUGAAUUAUGAAUGAUCUAUUCUCAUGUUUUCAGAGACUUGUAAAACCUACAAACAUGCUGAGAGACAUGAGUGAGGACAUAAGGUGUUGUUUUGGUUUGUUACUGUUCUCUGACAUA